UGGGUGGGGAGCUGCCCGCCAGUUCUUGUCCGCUAAGGGGAAUGAUUCAUAGAGUGUCAGGAGGGACAGUUCUGCUGGUGAAAGCCCACUCCGGACCUAAACUCUUCUCCAAGGCUGGUAGAUCGAUGAGAGUAGGCAGGGGCAGGGCCUGACCCCGUUGCUGGCGGCUCGUCAGGCCUCCAUUAAGCCCUGGGCCUUGCAGGGGGAGGCCUCGAGGCGCCGGUUGCUGGGGGAGCGGUGACGUCUCGGGGUGAAAGUUGAGGGGCGGUGACGUACGGCCUGCCCGGGCGGAGGCUGGCGGGUUGGAGACUGGAGGGAGGGAGGGAAGGAGGGAAGGAAGGAAGCUGGGAAGGAGCGAGGUAGCGGGGGCGCGAGGCGUUUACCUGGGAGGCAGCGGCUGGGGCGCGCACAGCGGCCGCGGCUCCCCCGCACCUGCGGCCAUGGAUGAAGAGCGCGCCCUCUACAUCGUCCGGGCCGGCGAGGCGGGGGCUAUCGAGCGGGUCCUGAGGGAUUACAGCGACAAGCAUAGGGCUACUUUCAAAUUUGAACCAACAGAUGAAGAUAAAAGAAAGAAACUCUGUGAAGGCAUAUUUAAAGUCCUCGUAAAGGACGUCCCAACAACCUGUCAAGUGUCCUGCCUGGAAGUGCUCCGCAUUCUCUCCAGAGACAAAAAGAUUUUAGUUCCUGUAACAACUAAGGAAAAUAUGCAAAUACUGCUGAGACUAGCCAAGCUGCACGAGUCAGAUGAUUCUUUGGAGAAGGUGUCAGAGUUCCCGGUUAUUGUGGAAUCGUUAAAGUGUCUGUGUAACAUCGUGUUCAACAGUCAGAUGGCCCAACAGCUCAGCCUGGAACUGAAUCUCGCUGCAAAGCUCUGUAACCUCCUGAGAAAGUGCAAGGACCGAAAAUUUAUCAAUGACAUAAAGUGCUUUGACUUGCGUUUGCUCUUCCUCUUGUCACUUUUGCACACUGACAUCAGGUCACAAUUGCGCUAUGAGCUCCAGGGACUCCCGCUGCUAACCCAGAUCUUGGAAAGUGCCUUUAGCAUCAAGUGGACCGAUGAGUACGAGUCGGCCAUAGACCAUAAUGGACCUCCUCUUCCACCUCAGGAGACAGACUGUGCCAUCGAGGCCCUCAAAGCUCUCUUCAAUGUGACAGUAGACAGUUGGAAGGUGCAUAAAGAGAGCGACUCUCACCAGUUCCGAGUAAUGGCAGCUGUCCUUCGCCAUUGUUUACUAAUCGUAGGUCCAACUGAAGACAAAACGGAAGAGCUGCACAGCAAUGCCGUCAACCUUUUAAGCAAUGUUCCAGUCUCUUGUUUGGAUGUUCUCAUUUGUCCAUUAACCCACGAAGAAACGGCCCAAGAGGCCACGACUCCAGAUGAACUGCCUGGUGAUAAAACAGCGGAGAAAGACACAGCUUUGACAAACAAUGCCAUGGUAUACAAUGGCAUGAAUAUGGAGGCCAUUCAUGUCUUACUCAGUUUUAUGGAGAAGAGAAUUGACAAGGGAAGCAGCUAUAGAGAGGGCCUAACUCCAGUUCUCAGCUUGUUAACAGAGUGUUCCCGAGCCCAUCGGAACAUCCGAAAAUUUCUCAAAGAUCAGGUUUUACCGCCAUUGAGGGAUGUGACAAACCGGCCUGAAGUGGGCUCGACGGUGAGGAAUAAGCUGGUGCGCCUCAUGACACAUGUCGACCUUGGGGUCAAGCAAAUCGCUGCUGAGUUCCUUUUCGUCCUCUGCAAAGAGAGAGUGGACAGCCUGCUGAAGUACACUGGCUAUGGGAACGCUGCAGGACUGCUGGCGGCCAGGGGCCUCUUGGCUGGAGGAAGAGGAGAUAACUGGUACUCAGAGGACGAGGACACGGACACCGAAGAAUACAAAAAUGCAAAACCAAACAUUAAUCUUAUCACUGGUCAUUUAGAGGAACCCAUGCCAAACCCUAUAGAUGAAAUGACAGAAGAACAAAAAGAAUAUGAAGCCAUGAAACUUGUCAACAUGCUUGAUAAACUUUCCAGGAGAGCAGAUGUGAAGCCCCUGCACCAGGAUGGUGGUUAGCAACAGUGGCCCGUGCCAAAGCACUUUCCAAAGUGAUGACUAAGGUUGGUCAUGCCACGUACUCUUCCUGAGCUUGGUGUAGGGUGUAGACGCUACUGCCAUUACUGUGAAACUUGAGGUCACCUGUCCCUCUAACCUUCACACUGGACAUAGCCCUAAGGAUCCUCAUCCCAGCUAGGAUUCGAAAGGUGUUGAGAUUGGUGCUUAGACUGCCCUUACUGAGUAUGGACGGAUUAACACUCUCAAUGAUGUCAGAUCAUGUUUGUGUCAGAUGUGUCUAGUCCUUAUGUAGGGGGUUUUCAAAGCUAGGAAAUCACCUGGACCAUGGACGCCCUGCCCUGUAGAGCUAACUCGGUGCCUUUUGCCCUGUGGUUUCCCCAGUGUAUAGGGAUGGAAAGGACUGACCUCCAGGUAUGAAGUCUGGUUUGGUUCUGUUUUUUUUUUUUUUUUCCUCUAUAGAAUAACCUGCAGGAUUCAAGGCUUCAAAGUGUAAUUGUCAGGUCCAUUUCUUAGCCAAACUUCAUUAAAGUAAAGGAAUAUCAUAAAGAAAUGUGGGCCAUGGCUGGCUGAUUUAAGUUAGUGAUAUGAAUUUCUUUAAUCUAGAAUGAUAAGUAUAUUUAGCAAUCAAGCCUGAGAUAUAAGAUUACAGAAAACAUCAUAUGAUGUUUGUAACUUGCCUGCCUCUCCACCUCCUCUCUCCUCCUCAGACUUUGAAAGCAAAAAUAAACACCUGCUGUCAAGCAGGAAGCUGGAGUGCGCUGUAGGUAGGAAGUCCAGUGCCUGACGCGGCCUUGCUGUGGGCCAAGGGCAGGGGCAUCUUCAUCGCAGUUCCGUUUCCACGCAUCCCCUUUAUUUCCUUAAUCGACACCGCGUGGACUGAUCUCACCCUCCAUUCUCACUCCAGCUCUGUUUACCAAGGCACUUUGCCUGUUUGCUUACACAGGACGCUGGUUGAAAUUGCGUGUAAACAAACAAUACCCGUUCUGCCACCACCGCCUGCUCACAUGCAUUCCCUGCGCUAACCAGGCUUCCAGUCCCACCCCAUGUUUGCCAGCCGUAUUGGUAUGUGGGACAUAGCUUUCUUAAUUCUGGCAUCAAGUCUAAAGUUAUGAGAGAUUGAUGGAUAAAAAGUAGCUGGUCAGGAUCUGCCCCUCAGGUGCACUUCAGAAACACAGCCCGCCCUCAUGACUACUAAACCCUUGAAAUGUGGUUAAUCCAAAUCAGAAUGUCCUUAUGUUUCUGACUACAGCACUGUUCUCCAUCAUGAAGGUGCCAUGAAAUCUCAAUUAGGGAGCUCGGUGCUUUCAGCUGACACGCCCUUACAAGAACGAGAGGACUCUUUUGAGAGGCUUAAGUCUGCUCCUCUUUAGGUUGGCUAGACACCAGAGCACAAUGUCAUGUGCUCUUUGUAUUCCUUAUUGGAGUCACUGAGUGCUUGGUUACAGCACAAGCUGAAAUGGCUUUUGACAGUUAGCAAAACACAAAAUAAAAAUAGCCUCCUUCCUAGCUGCGUGCCUUUUAACGUUCAGAUUUUCCUGAUUGGAAAGAUUAUUAGAAUUUCCGUUUGUGCUGCUUCCUUCAGUGGAGUUUGCUGGCCUGCAGACCUCAUAUAAUUGUGUUAACGUAGACAACAGAGCAGAGAAGUUUUCUCACAAUGUCACCCAAAUAAGGAGGUCAAUAUUUAAGGUAAACUAACCAGUGCUCUUUCCGCAGUGCCCCUGCUCCCCCACUGCUCCUCACUGCGCUGACUAACAUGGGUAGUGACAGAGUCUCAGGAGCUUUGCAUGCUAUCUCUAACAGAAAUGAGAAUAAUAAAAAACUAAUUCAGUGCUUCAAAAUGUAAAAAAUCAAAACAAAAAAAAAGCUUCUAUGUGUGCUCCCGGUUGUCCUGAGACAAUCCUGUGGUCUAAGUAGGAUGGGAGGUUAUCAUUGAGGAGUGAGCCUCACAGGUUAAGGGCUGACUCCCUCCAGAACUCCCAGAUAGUGUGCUGUUCUGACAGGUUACCAGCUACGCUCAGCAGUUUGUAAAUGAAUGCGAAGCACCAAUGGCCAGCAGGGAGCAGGUCUGCUUUGGCGGACUGCAGGUUAUAGUGGAAAGCAUUGCGCACCCCAGUUUCCUGCUCCAUGUCAGAUGCUGCGUCACUAGCUAAAAAACUGGCUUUAUGAGGGAAGCAGUAAAAGUCCUAAGAUCCUUUGUUAAAACUGGGUUUGAGCAUCCUUUUUAAAAGAGAAUGAGUAUGGUACCCACGUCAUCACAUUACUGAAUCUUCACUUUAAAGUAGCUUCCCUGUGGGAAUUUUUAGUUCCCAGUCCCAUUACAAAGUGGAAGGGUGUGGUGUUGUGAGCAGUUCACUGUGUCCAUUUAUCUUGGGUCAGCAUACUUACACAGCAUACUUAGCUUUUCCACUAGUGCCCCAACUUAGAACGUAAUGAUAAGGGCUGAGGAAAGGUCGAUUAUUUAUUAAGAUGCAAUUGGAAGGCCUUUUUCUUGUGGUAAAGCACCAUCCCCAUUGUUCCUUUUCUGUCAGUGUCCUGGUGAGAGAGCAGCAUUUGCACUCGGAAGCCAUUGAUAAAAUGUAAAGCAUCAGUGUCCACACGCGAAGGCCACCCUUCCCCCACGGCAUCAACAGGUUCUGUGACUGUCAGUCAGCGGGGCUGUCACAGCGGCAGAAGCCCAGGUCUCAGUCCCAUGCACCCUCUGGGCUGGCGGGAUCCAUCCCUAUAGGCAUCCUACAUUAAUUAAAAUACUUCAUUUAUAUACUAAUGCUUCAUCCCAUCUUCCAAAGGCCAAAAGGAAUUAAAUAUGAAAUGGCUAAUUUAACAUGUCAGGGCUCUUUUUCCAGGCCAACCUCACAUUAAGAACAAGAAUCCUUGUGUCAAAGUAAUGGUUCCCAAUUAUCUUGUCUUGGGUUUUGUUAUACAUUGAACAGAAGUCAACAAAACAAGUAACAGAACCUGGCUAACUAGCAGCACCCUCAUUAGAGCAGAGAAUUAAUCAGGGGUGAUUAGAAGAAGCAGUUUCCCUUUUUCCUCCUUUUCUAACCACAGAACAGAAUGUUAGACAAAAGGAUCGCAACUAUUAUGCAGUACUCAGUCAGAGGGAGGUGAAUAGGUCUCUAACAUGCUGUUGUAUCAAAAGAGCAGACUGGUGUUUGCAUGACUGUUGUUUCAUUACAGACCCUGUCAUUAAUUCCAUGUGUCAAUACUGCCCUGUAGUACACAGAGCAGACAAGAAAGAAGAGCCCUUGAAAACAAGGGAAUGAUUUUUGAGUCGUUAUCAAGCUAAGUGGCAAGCGGGAAGCUGAAACUCGUAUAGUUGAACAUUCUUGGAGGCUUAUCUCUUCCCUGGCCAGAUGCCUGAUCAGAUGAGAAGCCCGCCAUGAUACUGUCCCAGUGCCUAGAAUGGGCUCUUUAUCCAGUAGACAUCACUGUACUUUUUGGUGAUAACGGGGGCAGUCGUAACUGUUAAGGCCUGUGUAUAGCAUUGAAGACCAGAUUACAUGAAAACCACAGCCCGAGAAGACACGGACUCUGCAUUCAAGUUGAAAGCAGCAAACCUUUGGAAAGCAUUCUGCAGGGUCUCGUAUGGGUUAGGAAUCCUUUCCUGAUUCUGUAAAUCUUGAUGAAAACAAAUUUGCUUACAGAUUUCGCCUGUGUCUUGUUCAUGACUUAGUUAUGAGAAGCCUGUAUGAUCAUGACUUUUGUGAAAAGGCCAGCUACGUGUAGCUUACAGGUGCUUAACUGAAGCUGUGCUCUGUAAGGCCCUUUGCCAGAGUGCAGGAGGAUAUGAAAACUGACUAAAGCAUAGAACAGUUUCUUUUAGUAUGUCAGAGCAGUGUUGUUUGCAGCCUUCAAAUGUCAUAGUAAUGGUUAUUGUUAAUAAACACACUUAAACAUGGAAGGUGACUCUUGAAGUACUCAGAGUCCAGCUUCAGCCUUGGAGCCCAGGUCUCUAGCCCCUCUUUCCUGCCUCAGCACUUUUGAGCUUUCCUUCUUUUCCUCAGCCAAGCCAGCCUGCUUGCCAGUCCCGCACAUGACUAACUCUCUCUUGUGUGCCUUUGCUUGACUAAUUCUGCUUCCGGGAUGCCUUUCUUCUGUGAUGCGUGUCUUCAGUGCCGUUAUGGUGUGGCCUCCCGUCUGCCUCCUGCAGAGAGCCGUAGUAACAUGUCCCCCUUUCCUUCCGUGUCCUUUCUAUGUGUGCAUCGCCAGGUGACAGUCUUACUGACCUGGGCACAAACAGACCUCAGGAAACUAAGAUAACCCCCAUCCACCAGGUCAUGAGAUGUCUAGAGCAGAGAUUGUGUUUGGUGUUUGUAGGUUGCUGUGCUAGCUUCAGGAUAGAGAAGAACAGAAAAGUUAGACGUAAGAAUAUGAGAAGCAAUCCAGGUCCAUGGGUAAAGCAGUCACAAGCUAGUAAGUGAUCAUUUCUGCUCCCAAACAGGACAAGAAAUGUUCUUGAACACACUCCACACACAGGAGUCUGCUGGUGAGCUGAGGCUCUGCAUGUCAAUCAUCCUAGCUUGUUGAUCUGCUGUUCUGUGAUCUUUGGUAUUGUUUAAUGUGUGUGCGUAUUCUCUUCCACACUGACUGAAGCUUCUUGAGGACAGGAACCACGUCUGUUAUUUACCUCUGUGUACUCUUCCCCCACCACCCCUCACACUAUUUUAUCAGGAAGGGGAAGCCUCCUGUAAACACAAGGAACUAGAGUAAAGCUUGUGGGUUCUGAUUCUAUCCCAGCCGUUACACUGCACACUUUCUAUCUAUGUGUAGUCUGUGGUGUGUGCCUUCAUGAUUGCUUAGUGAGGUGUUUCUGAUCCAUUCUACUGAAAAUGAAAUCCAAGUUUAGAGUUUUCAGGUCUUCAGGUAAUGAGCUGUUGAUCUAGAAUUAAAAACCGGGUCUGGCUUUAGAACCUGUAUAUGCUUUUCACUUCCCAGAGUAAAUCCUUGAGUCCUCUCCAGGCCCCAGAACCCUUUGAUCUGUACUGGUGCUGUUGUUGCUACCACUGUGGUGCUGGGACUUAUGUCAUCACUGGGAAGUAGGCAGAGCUAGUGUUACCAUGACCCCAUUUCACAGACUUGCCCAAGAUCUCACACUAGUAGGUGGAAGAGUCCAGACCUCAGCCUCGCUCCUCCCACACGUCACAGUGCUGUCUUAAUUGAUUUGCAUGAAUGCAUGACUGUGGCCAGGGUGCACUGAAGCCUUUCCUACAGAAAUGUCAGACACGGGCAUUGCACGGAGCCGUGUGCAAGGUGAUACAGGGCACAGUUAACAAGUGAGAAUUAAAAGAUGGGUGCCCUUUGUUCUGUAAAUUAACUCUUGUAAAUUCUCCAUAAAACUAAGAUUCUGAGCUAUUCCCAGUUGUAAAGUUGGACUAAAGAGUAGGAAGUCGCUGGGCAGUUCACACACUGGCAGCUGGUCCCAGUAUGGACCUGUUACUAUGGAAAUGUAAUAGUGUUAGUACUGUCAGUGGUGUGUCUGCCAGGCAGUUCUGUUCUGCCUUUCCCUACCAUCCCUCACAGCCUUCAGUUACCAACACCUUUAAACCUAGGUCAUUUGGUUCUAAAGUUUUGUGUUUGGGUUUUUGGCCUUUUGAGCCAGGCUCUUGUUUUCACAGAUGUGAAUUUUCUUAGCCUGCAGUGUGCUGUCCUCAGCAAGGUGUCCCUCUCCUUACAUCAGUCGUCAGGAUUCAGUGUCACACAGUCACAACGAGUAUUCCCGGUCGUGGCCCGGUCAUUGCUGGUGGCUCUCCACUGGCGUGUCUGUUUGCCACAAAGGCAGGUCAAGCUCUUUGUGUCCUGAAAAAUAGCACCAUUCCACCGAAUCUGCCUGUGUCCUGGCUCCUGUAGGGAGUGCCUUAGUACCUGCCCUGGAGCCAUAGGGACAUUUAACCACUCUCCUUCCCCAGCCCCUUCCACACCUGAGGCGUGAGGCCUCUCCUUCCCACAGCCUCAGCCACAAUCCAUCUCUUUCAUUUUCCAUACACCAUUACAAUGGCCUCCAUCCUGGUGAGUCUGCACAACGCUCCCAGAGGGUGUGAACCAGUGGCCGCUCCAGGACAAAUGCUGAGCUCCUUCCUUCCCUCACCCCUCACUUCUUCCUUGUCCAGCCUUACAAGAGCACAAAGCAGCAAAAGCAACUUAACACAGGCACACAAGACAGUGGGACCUCACAGUCUCCUCAUUUGUGUGGACUUCUGCCUCCCUUGGGUAGUGCGGCCAUGCUUCUCGGGAGCACUGUUGCACCCCAUCUGUGGCCCAGGUCAUCUUGGGUCUGUCUGUUUUGUCCACUUGUCAAGGGCAGCCGCUGCCGCCUGUCUUCCUCGUCUGCCCAGCAAGUGGCAGUUCCUUUCACACGGUCACUGCGCAGUGAACUCGGCUGCUUUUCCGUGCAGUUAGGGCGGCAGCUGAUGGGAUUUACUGCAAAGAGCACAGGACUCUGUUUCAGGAGACCUGUCCCAUGCCCAACUCUGCCACUAAGCGGCCUUGGGUAAGUGGCUCAGCCUCCUUUCAAAAAGGGGGUUGGACUGAAUGAUCCGUGGGGCUCCUUCCAACUUCGAGCUUUAUGGUUUUGAUCCUGUUUCUUACUUAGAACACGCAGGAGCCUCGGUUAGCCAGCCAGCCACAUUUCCCAGACUCUGGCCUCAGCAGUCAUCCUCUGACACUAGCCAGAGCCAUUACAUAGGCUCCUGUUCCUUUAACCCAGUCACCGAGCUGAGCUCACCUCCCCAGGCUUCACUGUGCUGUCUGAAGGGACAGUAGCAAGGAGAGGGGAGGUGUUACUGUUUCCCUUCACACCAGAGCCCACCAGCGUUACAGCGGCUGCGUCAUAUUCUCAGACGGUGGUGCCCGUCUCCAUGAGAAAUAAGUUUUAAGCAACUCCCGUGCCUUCGACGCACUCUUAAGCGCACUACCAGCCUGUUGGGAGUGGAAGGCUUGGAGUUAGCAACUCAGUAGGUAGAUUUGUCACGACCUCCUUGCAAUAAUAAAUACGGCCUAUGAAGAAAUUAAGUAAAUCUUUCCUGAUGCUUUUUGAUUGGCUUAAUCAAUAAUUAACCAUCUUAGAUGAGGCUGUAACUUGUGGAGUGGAUACAAUUGGAUUAGGUGAAGACAGUUGGGGAGCUUUGAAGAGAUUAAAAAUGGCUGUCAAUCCCAUAAUUAAACUGCCACAAACAAAAGCAAUGGUGUUUUAAACGAGAAAAGGGAAAGAAAAGUGGGGAACCUCAGCUGAUUUGAAAUGAACCCACAAGUAUUCAUUGAGUCAGAGAUGGUGGCAACAAACCCAAAUUUGACAACGGAUGCCAUUAAAUGAAACAUGUGCUUAAUUCUAAGAUGGGCAGGUGAAACUCUGGCAGCUUCAACUUCUCUAAAACAAAUGAAUCCACAAGAGGAAAAAAAGUUAAUUAUUCAAAACAGAAGAGACCUGCUCCUUGUCCUGAGCCCAUUUGGACCUUGACUUUUCAUACUUUAAUUGGCUUAGUGGGUUUGGCUUGUGUGAAUGAAGUCUUUCAUCUCCUCUUUUUCUACCCAUGCCCCUUUCAUCUUUCUAUUACAAACACAGAGAGAGCUUGAGAGAAAAUACUCUGGGUUUUAGAAACUUCUCUUUUUAAAAGGAUGUGGCUCCGGGUGGGGGAGGGGUGUGUGUGAUGCUGGUGAAUACUUUUUUCUCUUUCUUUUAUCUCUUUUCCAGAGAGGAGUUGCUUAAACCAAUGGGACUAAAGCCUGACGGGACAAUAACGCCUUUGGAGGAAGCUCUCAGCCAGUAUUCCGUCAUCGAGGAGACCAGCUCCGACACGGACUGAAGAGCACCGUCGCCUGUUCCACUCUCAAUAUGGCUUUUAUCAGCAUCUUCUCUCUGUAGCUCCAGGGGAAUCUUCUUCUCUAAAACAUGUAUGCCCUUGCUUUGGCUAGAAACACAUUAGCUGGUUUCCUUUGGGAACCCAGCAUAUUUAAGAGGUGGUCCUGUGUUCUCUGCAACAUGGAGGCAUCCACACAGAGCUGGAGUUAGGCAGUCGCGGGCUAGGAGCAGAAACGGUCAUUCCAUUUCAUCAGGAUGCGGUGUGGGACUCACUCUGCACAGCAGCCUGGUCCAGCCUGGCAGUCCUGCUGCCGGGAUUCCUAGCUGAAGAUUCAGCAGUGUCCUUCCACCCACUCAUGUAAACAGCCCCUUCUGAGUCUCUCCAGAACCCGAGGCACACGAGCACCUGUGGAGCUAGUACCAAGGGCUGAGGCAGGGGACUCCUCGGUGACCCAGCCCCACACUUCCCUUCAGUUUUGUAUACACGUGGAAACAUACGCACAGAGCCCCAGACUUACAAAGUUUGUAUGUCACCCCGCUAAACUUGAGAACACAGCUCUCCUGAGGAGUUAGAUGACGGCUUCGUUCCAGGCAGCUACACGUGCCUAUUCAUCCCUCAUGUUCUGAACACUACACGUACCGUAGGGCUGGACCACCAUCCCGUACUGUCGCAUCCAGAGCGCGCGCAUUCUGAGCUCUCAGGGUGCCGAGUGCACACUCAUCCUCCAGGCAACAGAGAGGAUGGGGCUCCCCAGUAGUGGGGUUCUCAUGGCCUGUGCUGGGGGUAGGGAGCCAACAGCACUAUUUGUACAUAAAGGUCAUUCGUAUGUCACGUUUUAAACAAGGGUCUCUGUGUGUAUUUGUGUGUGUUCUUUCUACCAUAUGUGAUCAGUUUAAUGGUAACUUUAUUUAUUUAAAAAAGAAACACAAAUAGUUACUAUUAAACUGAUUAAGGCUGUUUAUUUUUACUCUUAGAAAUGGUCAUAUGAAGUAGAUGUGCAAUCAUGUAGACAGUGGGCCAAGUUGAUCAGUGGCUAAAGUUGAAAAGGGGUUGGUUUCCUUUCAUAUAUGUAUGUAUGUGUAGGUACACACACAUGCAUAUAUGCACACACAUAGAUUAUGUGCUUAACCACUGCCUUUUAAAACUUUAAAUUAAAUAAAACAUUGGGGAUGAUUCAAUUUA